rnacentral:RNase_P_RNA from 1 species
CGAGAAUUUCGGCUUGUUGAUUCUUGCUUUGGCAGGGGUAGGAAAGUCCGGACACCAUAGAGCAGCAAAGCGGAUAACAUCCGUCACCCGUGAGGGUAGGACAAGUGCAACAGAAAGCAGGUACAGUUCGGCUGUAGUGAAACCAGGUAAACUCUUUGUGGUGCAAUGAUAAGUAUAUCGGUUCUUUUCAGUAAUGAAAAUAGGAGUUGCUCGCUCUGAAAGCCGAGGGGUAAUCAGCUAAAGUUUUGCAGUAAUGUAAAACAUAGAUAAAUAACAAGCACUUCUUUUUGAGGUACAAAAUCCGGCUUAUAGAUUUUCUCGUGUU